GUAGGUGGCAAGCGUUGUCCGGAAUUAUUGGGCGUAAAGCGCGCGCAGGCGGUUCUUUAAGUCUGAUGUGAAAGCCCACGGCUCAACCGUGGAGGGUCAUUGGAAACUGGAGAACUUGAGUACAGAAGAGGAAAGCGGAAUUCCACGUGUAGCGGUGAAAUGCGUAGAGAUGUGGAGGAACACCAGUGGCGAAGGCGGCUUUCUGGUCUGUAACUGACGCUGAGGCGCGAAAGCGUGGGGGAGCAAACAGGAUUAGAUACCCUGGUAGUCCACGCCGUAAACGAUGAGUGCUAAGUGUUAGGGGGUUUCCGCCCCUUAGUGCUGCAGCUAACGCAUUAAGCACUCCGCCUGGGAGUACGGCCACAAGGCUG
rnacentral:rRNA from 1 species